AAUUGAAGUAGCUUAGGAACUUCUCACUUCUCACAUGUGCUUUAACCAAAACUGCUUAUUCUAGAUGGCUAGGUUCGUGAGUUGGAUGGGUCUUAAGCCCAAAGCACUGAGGGAGACUUCUAUUUCAAAACCUUUGAUGCCAUUUUCCAAUUAAAAAUCUUGAGCAGAACCACCUCAAUCUGUCAGAAAUUUUCUAACGACGUUAAACCUCAAAAGGGAAGUUAGUUGUUCAGAUCUUCACUCAUUUUUUUCUCCAAGUGGCUCCUUCAUUAGUAUGCAAAUUUUCCACACCCUACCCUAGAGGCAAGCUCUGCAUACCAAGAAAUCUUGACAAACAUCAGGUUAUGAGACUUCCCCCCAAGAGAACAGGUGCCUAACAUCUUACACAACUAAGAGCAAAAGAGAGAAAAUCUCCAAGAGGAUAGGCUACAGUGGAGAUGAAGUCCCAGUAUGUUGCCUCGGCUGGUCGCAAACUCCUGAGCUCAAGUGAUCCUGCCACCUCGGCUUCUUAAAGUGCGGGUAGUACUUAAUUUGUCUAGAAAUGACAGUGUAAUGCCACUCUGGUCAAUGAGACCUAAGAGGAAGUCUACUGGAAGACAUCUGGGAAAGAUUUACCAUCCUGAAAAAAGACAUGAUCAUGACAUCUUGCAGAAAAGAGGAAGAGAGAAUUUCUAGGACAAAUGGCUUGUUUUUUACAUUAGAGAUGAACCAAAAGUUGCACACUUCACCUCUGCUCACAUCCCAUCCUUCUUAAUCAUAUAGCCACAACUUGCUUCAAGUGAGACUGAAAAUACAGUCCCUAAUGGGGGAAGAGGUGAUGACCAUGUGUACAGCCUAAGUUUUUUUUAAGAAAAAAAAAAAAAAGGGCCGGGUGU